rnacentral:snoRNA from 1 species
AUCCAGCGAUGCUUUCACUCGAGAAAGCCGGAGUCGAUUUCCAUCCCAGGAACGGUUCUGAACGGAGCGUUGGUAGAAAGAAUUUCCAUUAUAGAAGGCUCGUUGUUCCGACUCGUUUUACGAGUUGACUUCCGCAAGGUUGGUGGGCAAUGAUGCAAGAGAACCCUUGGGAACAUUU